GACGAACGCUGGCGGCGUGCCUAAUACAUGCAAGUAGAACGCUGAAGGAGGAGCUUGCUCUUCUGGUUGAGUUGCGAACGGGUGAGUAACGCGUAGGUAACCUGCCUGGUAGCGGGGGAUAACUAUUGGAAACGAUAGCUAAUACCGCAUAACAGUAGAUGUUGCAUGACAUUUGCUUAAAAGGUGCAAUUGCACCACUACCAGAUGGACCUGCGUUGUAUUAGCUAGUUGGUGGGGUAACGGCUCACCAAGGCGACGAUACAUAGCCGACCUGAGAGGGUGAUCGGCCACACUGGGACUGAGACACGGCCCAGACUCCUACGGGAGGCAGCAGUAGGGAAUCUUCGGCAAUGGACGGAAGUCUGACCGAGCAACGCCGCGUGAGUGAAGAAGGUUUUCGGAUCGUAAAGCUCUGUUGUAAGAGAAGAACGAGUGUGAGAGUGGAAAGUUCACACUGUGACGGUAUCUUACCAGAAAGGGACGGCUAACUACGUG
rnacentral:rRNA from 1 species